GCGGGUAUAGCUCAUUAGGUAGAGCGCUGGUCUUCCAAACCGGAGGUGGUGGGUUCGAGUCCCGUUACCCGC
rnacentral:tRNA from 1 species